rnacentral:rRNA from 1 species
AGUGAACGCUGGCGGUAGGCCUAACACAUGCAAGUCGAACGGCAGCACAGUAAGAGCUUGCUCUUACGGGUGGCGAGUGGCGGACGGGUGAGGAAUACAUCGGAAUCUACUUUUUCGUGGGGGAUAACGUAGGGAAACUUACGCUAAUACCGCAUACGACCUACGGGUGAAAGCAGGGGAUCUUCGGACCUUGCGCGAUUGAAUGAGCCGAUGUCGGAUUAGCUAGUUGGCGGGGUAAGGGCCCACCAAGGCGACGAUCCGUAGCUGGUCUGAGAGGAUGAUCAGCCACACUGGAACUGAGACACGGUCCAGACUCCUACGGGAGGCAGCAGUGGGGAAUAUUGGACAAUGGGCGCAAGCCUGAUCCAGCCAUACCGCGUGGGUGAAGAAGGCCUUCGGGUUGUAAAGCCCUUUUGUUGGGAAAGAAAAGCAGCAGGUUAAUACCCCGCUGUUCUGACGGUACCCAAAGAAUAGGCACCGGCUAACUUCGUG